AUUGAACGCUAGCGGGAUGCUUUACACAUGCAAGUCGAACGGAGUGGCGGACGGGUGAGUCAUAUAUCGGAACGUGCCCAGUAGAGGGGGAUAACUACUCGAAAGAGUGGCUAAUACCGCCUACUAUUGGAACGUCCCAUAUGGGAUUAGCUCGGUGGUGGGGUAAAUGCUCACCUAGGCAACGAUCCGUAGCUGGUUUGAGAGGAAGACCAGCGACAACGGGACUGAGACACGGCCCAGACUCCUACGGGAGGCAGCAGUGGGGAAUUUUGGACAAUGGGGGAAACCCUGAUCCAGCCAUCCCGCGUGUAUGAUGAAGGCCUUCGGGUUGUAAAGUACUUUUUGCAGGGAAGCGGUAUCUGCAGAAUAAGCACCGGCUAACUAAGUGCCAGCCGCCGCGUUAAUAC
rnacentral:rRNA from 1 species